GCCUGNUCCGCAUCNCCGCGUGAGGGAUGACGGCCUUCGGGUUGUAAACCUCUUUCACCAUUGACGAAGUUGCAUCUUUUUGGGUGUGGUGACGGUAGGUGGGGAAGAAGCACCGGCCAACUACGUGCCAGCAGCCGCGGUAAUACGUAGGGUGCGAGCGUUGUCCGGAAUUAUUGGGCGUAAAGGGCUCGUAGGCGGUUUGUCGCGUCGGGAGUGAAAACCUCGGGCUUAACCCGGGGUCUGCUUUCGAUACGGGCAGACUAGAGGUAUGCAGGGGAGAACGGAAUUCCUGGUGUAGCGGUGAAAUGCGCAGAUAUCAGGAGGAACACCGGUGGCGAAGGCGGUUCUCUGGGCAUGAUCUGACGCUGAGGAGCGAAAGUGUGGGGAGCGAACAGGAUUAGAUACCCUGGUAGUCCACACCGUAAACGUUGGGCGCUAGGUGUGGGAUCCAUUCCACGGGUUCCGUGCCGCAGCUAACGCAUUAAGCGCCCCGCCUGGGGAGUACGGCCGCAAGGCUAAAACUCAAAGAAAUUGACGGA
rnacentral:rRNA from 1 species